rnacentral:snoRNA from 1 species
CCUCUCCUUUUCACUUUGCCAAGAGACAUUUCUCACGUAUCCACUGGUCAUUCAAGGGAGGCAAAGAACAUAUCCUUUAAAACAGGGGUCCCAACC